GAUGAACGCUGGCGGCGUGCCUAAUACAUGCAAGUCGAACGAAACUUCUUUAUCACCGAGUGCUUGCACUCACCGAUAAAGAGUUGGGUGGCGAACGGGUGAGUAACACGUGGGCAACCUGCCCAAAAGAGGGGGAUAACACUUGGAAACAGGUGCUAAUACCGCAUAACCAUAGUUACCGCAUGGUAAUUAUGUAAAAGGUGGCUAUACUACCGCUUUUGGAUGGGCCCGCGGCGCAUUAGCUAGUUGGUAGGGUAAAGGCUUACCAAGGCAAUGAUGCGUAGCCGAAUUGAGAGGUUGAUCGGCCACAUUGGGACUGAGACACGGCCCAAACUCCUACGGGAGGCAGCAGUAGGGAAUCUUCCACAAUGGGCGAAAGCCUGAUGGAGCAACGCCGCGUGGGUGAAGAAGGUCUUCGGAUCGUAAAACCCUGUUGUUAGAGAAGAAAGUGCGUGAGAGUAACUGUUCACGUUUCGACGGUAUCUAACCAGAAAGCCACGGCUAACUACGUG
rnacentral:rRNA from 1 species